UCUCGGCUUAUCACCGGCAGUCCCCUUAGAGUGCCCAACUGAAUGAUGGCAACUAAGGGCGAGGGUUGCGCUCGUUGCGGGACUUAACCCAACAUCUCACGACACGAGCUGACGACAACCAUGCACCACCUGUGAACCGGCCCCAAAGGGGAAACCACAUUUCUGCGGCGGUCCGGUCCAUGUCAAGCCUUGGUAAGGUUCUUCGCGUUGCAUCGAAUUAAUCCGCAUGCUCCGCCGCUUGUGCGGGCCCCCGUCAAUUUCUUUGAGUUUUAACCUUGCGGCCGUACCCCUCAGGCGGAUGACUUAACGCGUUAGCUGCGCCACCCAAGCACUAAGUGCCCGGACAGCUAGUCAUCAUCGUUUACGGCGUGGACUAC
rnacentral:misc_RNA from 1 species